UGGUCGCAGGUUCGAAUCCUGCACGACCCACCAAUAUACAAGGUGGUAACUGGUAGAGAACGUGAAGGAUAAUGUUGCUUUAGCAACGGCCCGAAGGGCGAGGCAAAGCCGAGUCAUCCUGCACGACCCACCA
rnacentral:sRNA from 1 species